UGAGACUUGGUGCUGUAGGUUUUUCUUUGCCGUGGAGAUGUACACAAUGCUGGUCUAGCAGCUCACGUUGAGCUGAUUAUCCACCAGGACUCCCCAGUCUUUUUCAGAGUCACUGCUUCUGAGGCUAGAGUCCUCCAUCCUAUCAUUGCACCAUGGUUCUUCUGAGCAAGAAAUGAAAGUAAGAUCAACAGCAUUCAUUGUUCAUAUCAUACUCUAAAUUAUAUGUAUUUUUAUUACAUUAUGAAAACAGCAACACUCUUCCAAGAUCUCACUUCCGUAGCUUGUAUCGCUUUGAAUAAGCCUAUUAUAAGACAAGGCUCCUAUGUUUCAUCAAGGAGCAUCAGAUGUGAAACAGCAUGAAGGUAUUUAAGAAGCCAACUCAAAGAGUUCCUCCUACACAAGCAUUCAGGUCUUGA